AGUUCUGGGGUGUAACACGUUGGAUUGCAAAUCCAAAGACGCAGGUUAGCCGCCCGCCGGGGCUU
rnacentral:tRNA from 1 species